rnacentral:lncRNA from 1 species
AUGGUAUGUGAAGGAGAAUGCCUAUGUGUGCAUGGCUGGGUCCUUUUGCUGUACUUGACAGAACACUGUAAGUCAACUACAAUAAAAACAUUAAAAAAAAAAAAAAAAAAAAAAAAAAACAGUAACAGAAUCAUGAGUAAGAAGACUGUGAACAUUUCAACUAUUUUAGUGUCCUACUUUUCAGAGUUACAUUUGUAUCGCAAAAUUUACCUGAUCUGGACGUUGGCAAAUCCUUUGUUCCAACUUUUAUUUUACGAACAUUGGUCACUCCAACUGGAGGCUGAAUGGGUUUGGAUUAGAGUUGAUUAAAAAAUAACAUACACACGAUAAAAUCUGUAGUUCUUAUUUCAAGCUAAAAGUCUAAAAGCAUUACCUUCGAGUGAGGAUGUUUUUCAGGAGAAGCUAAAAGGCAAAAUGGACGUGUAUCAAUUAGCUGUAAAUACGAAAGCUAGGUAUUCAUUUAUGCAGAGUCAGUACCAAGUGGAGUUCGGCUGCUUGGCUCUGGCAAUGAGUGUGUUAGGUUUUGGUGUUCUCUCUUGGGUGGGGGGAGUUAGGACAGGAACCCGAGAGAAGUAUGCAUUCAUUAUAGAUCCCGAAUAAGAAAGAGGCAUGUAGGUUUAACAAAACAUGCAGUUAAGAUUUCAAAAGGAAGGAAUGUUAUGUUUCCAAUGAUUUUGCACUAGCAAAGUGCAUAUACGGCAAUGUGAACAUGCUGACUGAUGAGGAGGAAAAUUGUUUCUAAUCAGAGGAACAGAUCAUGAUCCCAAGGGGAUAAAGUGAGAGCUGCUAGGAAAAUGCAACAGCCUCUCUUUCAUGCAAUACCGCGGCAUCAUAGACCUCAUUAUACUGCCAAGCGUUUAUCAUCAUCUUCAAUUUGCUCUCGAAUUUAGGAAGCACCCAUUUUGGAUGACAGUUCAGCUGAAUGCAUAAUUCAUUUCUCAUCAGAGAGAGUGUGUGGAAUUGAUCACCUGGGAUAUAUACUUGCAGAGUAAUACUGCAUAGAAAUAUUCAAUUUUCCAUACCCGUGUGGGCCUCUUCUAUGCCUCUAUUUCUUGGAUCCUCUAGUUUAUCCUUCUUAAAGUUGCUUGAUCCACUCAUCCAAGUUACAUCUUCAGAAAAAUGUAUAGAGAACUUUGAAUAUUGAAAUAUGAUUGUCAAAACGGACAAAAUAAAUUCAAAUGUGACAGCCUUAUUAGAUAUCA